GUGUUGUAUGAAAGGAGAGAAGGUUAGCACUCCCCUUGAUAAGGAUGGAAGAGGUCCUUGUGGCCUGUACAACACGCAUAUGGUUGGGGACGCAGGUGGCGCUGUGGGUUAAACCACAGAGCCUAGGAGUUGC